rnacentral:piRNA from 1 species
UGGAGCUAUUGGUGAUGUCCAAGGGAAA